rnacentral:snRNA from 1 species
GGAUUAAGAGAGUAGUUUAGU